rnacentral:rRNA from 1 species
GAUGAACGCUGGCGGCGUGCCUAAUACAUGCAAGUCGAGCGAACGGACGAGAAGCUUGCUUCUCUGAUGUUAGCGGCGGACGGGUGAGUAACACGUGGAUAACCUACCUAUAAGACUGGGAUAACUUCGGGAAACCGGAGCUAAUACCGGAUAAUAUUUUGAACCGCAUGGUUCAAAAGUGAAAGACGGUCUUGCUGUCACUUAUAGAUGGAUCCGCGCUGCAUUAGCUAGUUGGUAAGGUAACGGCUUACCAAGGCAACGAUGCAUAGCCGACCUGAGAGGGGGAUCGGCCACACUGGAACUGAGACACGGUCCAGACUCCUACGGGAGGCAGCAGUAGGGAAUCUUCCGCAAUGGGCGAAAGCCUGACGGAGCAACGCCGCGUGAGUGAUGAAGGUCUUCGGAUCGUAAAACUCUGUUAUUAGGGAAGAAAAUAUGUGUAAGUAACUGUGCACAUCUUGACGGUACCUAAUCAGAAAGCCACGGCUAACUACGUG